GACUCAUUGAAGGCUAUUUUUGUUCAAAAGCGAAAAGAGGGUGGGACAAGUGCCUAACUUGCCUGUAAAAAGAAGAAGAUGAAGAAGACACUCACCCUGUUAGUGGGCAUUAUGACUGAGCUGAUUAUGGCUGAGGUUGUGCUGCCACCUCCUUCUCCUUCUCUAACUAUUGACACGGCAGCUACUCUUAGUGCCAGUGGAUUGGAUGCUAUUUUGAGGAGGCAAGGACAAGUAGCUAAAAAUUUUUCACUGGCCGAGCUACUUGGGAGGAAGCUGACUCUACCUGGUGAUUGCGUUUAUCUUAAACUUGGGAGUGACCAUGACUUAUUCCUUCAUUCGAUGAGCCUAAGCUUGGAGGUGGUCACCGUGAUCAAUUUUGUGUAAGAGUGGUUUCAGGCACAACGAUAGUUAUAAUGAACUGCAAACCAAUUGUAGUGCCCUGGAAUUCAUCAUAGAGGAGAAGGAUGAUCAACUUAAACAAAUGCAGUCUGAUCUAGAGAAUUCAGAGGCCAAGGUGGCUUCACUUACAUUGUUGAGGUCAAGUCUUCUGAUGAGAGGUUGAUAGAUUUAUAAUUGCCUUACAUAUGACUAUUGUGUAUGAGCUCUCCAAGCGCCAGUCGGGUAUUGAUUUUGAAUGGAUUAAAGAGAAAGUUCUAGGUCAAACUAACUUUGAGGAGGGAGGGGAUAAGGGAGAGGAAGGUGGAGUAAGUGAAGGAUGAUGAUGCUGGGGUUACACCUUCCGUCG
rnacentral:misc_RNA from 1 species